CGGAGGGAUCAUUAAAGAGUUCUAUAACUCCCAAACCCAUGUGAACAUACCUAACGUUGCCUCGGCAGGUCGCACCUACCUUGUAGCACCCUACCCUGUAGGGCCUACCCGGGAGGUGCGGGUAAGCCUGCCGGCGGCCCACCAAACUCUGUUUGAUAUUGAAUUCUGAACCUAUAACUAAAUAAGUUAAAACUUUCAACAACGGAUCUCUUGGUUCUGGCAUCGAUGAAGAACGCAGCGAAAUGCGAUAAGUAAUGUGAAUUGCAGAAUUCAGUGAAUCAUCGAAUCUUUGAACGCAUAUUGCGCCCAUUAGUAUUCUAGUGGGCAGGACCGUUCGAGCGUCAUUUCAACCCUUAAGCCUUCGUUGCUUAGUGUUGGGAGCCUACGGCAACGUAGCUCCUCAAAGUUAGUGGCGGAGUUGGUUCACACUCUAGACGUAGUAAUUUUUUAUCUCGCCUAUUAGUUGGACUAAUCCCCUGCCGUAAAACCCCCAAUUUAUCAAGGUUGACCUCGAAUCGGUUCAGACAAACUCGCUAAAUUGAAGCAUCUUAGUCAGCGAAGGAAAAGAAACCAACAGGGAUUGCCCUAGUAAC
rnacentral:rRNA from 1 species